rnacentral:rRNA from 1 species
UACGGGGGGGCAAGCGUUGUUCGGAAUUACUGGGCGUAAAGGGCUCGUAGGCGGCCAACUAAGUCAGACGUGAAAUCCCUCGGCUUAACCGGGGAACUGCGUCUGAUACUGGAUGGCUUGAAUCCGGGAGAGGGAUGCAGAAUUCCAGGUGUAGCGGUGAAAUGCGUAGAUAUCUGGAGGAAUACCGGUGGCGAAGGCGGCAUCCUGGACCGGCAUUGACGCUGAUGAGCGAAAGCUAGGGGAGCAAACGGG